UUGUGGCCACUAGUAGUUGUUCUUAAGCUGUUGUGUGUGCAGGUUUGGCUAGCACUUUCUGUGUGUAUUUGGCUUUGUCUUGAGCUAAGCAGUUUAGCGAUGGUUAUCUUGUCUUUACUGCUAAUUGGAUGAUUGGGCGGCGUGGCUGCACGAGUGGUAUAUAUGGUCUUACUAUUCAGGACAGUGUUAGGAAGAUGGCAACCUGGUAAUUUGGUUUUGAGAAAGGCUCUGCUGUGAGCCGAAACGUUGCCCUUCUUUUUGUGAGUAUGUGCUGUCUGGAUUAAAGUUCAUCGUUUUCUGGAGAAGUCUGGGUUUUGGGAUUAUGAAAGAUUUAUCAUAGAGCCUAUCCAAUCACACGGAACCAGCACGCAAGCAGUACUCAAUGAGGGAUGCCGAUAAUAGCAUAUUACGCUGUGGCAUUAAUUAUUUUUCAUGUUUUAUAACAUUUAAUUAAAAAUGACAAUGAGCUGCUUCACUUGUGAGUUACUGUGCUUCUGAUUGCAUUUCAUUAGUUAGCCAAAUGCCGUAAUGUAAUUUCUAUAAGACUUGCAGGUUUACAGUAUUUACAAGUGAGACUUUAUUUAAAGUAUAUUUCCAACACUGCAGGCAAUUUUUCUUCUAAAUGUUUAAUGUAAAAGACCUAUUGUGUAUGUUCUACAAUUAAACCCCUUACAUGUGUAAUUGUUGGCAAGACAGACUCUCUAGUACUAGUAUGUAUAUAGCAUUACCUGAAACUGCAAAAUCCAUGCUGUUUGGGAACAAAGGUGCAGCCCUCAUCUACGUCAUUAGGCAUGUGCCAGCAGAUGUGAAUUGCACAGAGCAGUAGCUAACAUAAAGUCACUGAUAUCUUGUUGGUGGGGGAACAUUAAGAAAAUAACAUAUCAGCUGUGGAACAAAUAAAUUAACCUAUUCAUACCUCCCAAUCAUAUCAAGCGAGAAUUGUCUGCAUCUUCUAUACUAUUGAAACACAGUGGUUCCAUUAGCCUAAUUAGUACUAAUACUAUGCAGGUAAUCCAGGCAGGAAAACCUCCCAUAGAGAAGCAAUCAAAGUGUUAUUUUUCCUGCUGUAUGUACCCCUUUGCUACUGCCGGUUUUCUUACCAUUGUGAUGAGGUUUUUGUUUUUUUAAAAUGUAUUUACUAAAGUAAUGAAUGUUACAAUAAAGAACAAAUUUAAACCAA